AAGGACUUGGUGUUUGGUACCCGAGACCCAAGUUCGAAUCCUAGUUGAUUCACAUUUCUAGCUAAGUUUAUUUCUAAAUGAAAUAAACGAAACGGAUAGCGUGCUACCUAUUUCUCAAAAAAAAAAAAAAACUUCAUAUCUUUUAUUGACCUCUUCAAAUUUUUAUUUUUUAUUUAAUUUAAAAUUUUACAUAAAAAUUUUAAUUGUUCUUUGCCACUGUAAUAUAAUUUGAAUAUUUCCUAACUUUUUAAUUU
rnacentral:lncRNA from 1 species